UUGCGGAAGAUUGCGUGGCCGUGAUUCGCGUCCGCGAAAACCGGAGGCACCGACUCGGAUUUAUUCGUCGCCUGACGCCUCUCGCACGGCGCCGCUGCAUCAGCUUUCGCCGCCGAGCGGCCGUCAUCGUCCUCGUCGUGUCGCGUGGCUCGCUCGCUCGCUCACGGGGCGUCGUGAGAACUCGCGUGUGAGAACUCCCGUUCUGUGCACGGACGUGCGACGAAUCGCCGAUAUUGAUACGCGACCGAGUGGUUCGGCUCCGUGCGAAAACGCCUCGCGAACAACGGGCUUCUUCAACAAUAGAUAACUACACCAUUUUGUUUAUGAACCCUCUCUCUGCCGCAUGUUUCGUUCCAAAAACAUCGAACCUAGGUGCCACGGUCUCUCUCGCGCGUGCUACGGGUGAUUGGGGAAAAUUGCAUGUCUGUGUAUGUGUGCGUACCUCCCUCGCGUGUUAUGUGGUCUUAUGCAACUGUUAUUUAUUUUGUCUCCCGUCAAUUACAUCGCGGCGGUACGCGUUUUCAAUGUACGCGAUGCGUCUGCCAGGCUGAUGGGCCACGUGCCGAGGGUGCCGGAAAUUAUUGCGCUUUCAUGAAGACACAUCGCAACGAGUAAUUAUAAGCUAACAAGCUAAAUUGAGCAAUGGUCAGUAAUAAUCCAAGGGGGAUACCCCGUAUACAGGUCUUUAGACCAACGUAUGAGGAAUUCAAAGAUUUUACUAAGUAUGUGGAAUACAUGGAGAGUCAGGGAGCUCACAAGGCUGGUCUGGCAAAAGUGAUACCACCACCAGAAUGGGUGGCAAGGAAGAAGGGCUACGACUUGGACGAUCUGGAUCUGACUAUUCCAGCACCAAUUUGCCAGGUCGUCACGGGGAAGCAAGGUCUUUAUCAGCAGAUAAACAUUCAGAAGAAAUCGAUGACCGUGAAGGAGUACAAUAAAUUGGCAAACUCGGAGCGUUAUGCCACCCCACGUCAUUUUGAUUACGAGGAUCUCGAGAGGAAGUACUGGAAGAACAUAACGUACGUAGCACCGAUAUACGGCGCGGACGUCUCCGGCUCGCUGACUGAUCCGGACGUGAAAGAGUGGAACAUCAAUCACCUGGGUACGAUUUUGGAUUAUGUCAACAAGGACUACGGUAUCUCGAUCGAUGGUGUCAACACGGCUUAUCUAUAUUUCGGGAUGUGGAAGACGACAUUUGCAUGGCACACCGAGGAUAUGGACCUUUAUUCCAUAAAUUAUUUGCAUUUCGGGGCACCGAAGACAUGGUACGCCAUACCACCGGAGCAUGGACGUAGACUGGAGAGACUGGCCAGUGGUUUCUUCCCAUCGAGCUACCAGAGUUGUCAAGCCUUCCUGCGCCACAAAAUGUCUCUGAUAUCUCCGCAGAUAUUGAGGCAGUACUCUAUUCCGUGUAACAAAAUCACGCAGGAAGCCGGAGAGAUAAUGAUUACGUUUCCGUAUGGCUAUCACGCCGGUUUCAAUCAUGGAUUUAAUUGUGCUGAAUCUACGAAUUUUGCGGCACCUAGAUGGGUGGAGUAUGGAAAGAGAGCGACACAGUGUACCUGCAGUAAAGACAUGGUCAAGAUAUCUAUGGAUACAUUCGUCAAACGUUUUCAACCAGAAAGGUAUGAAUUGUGGCUACGCGGUGAGGACAUUGGUCCCCAUCCUGAAGAUCCUAGACAAACUGCUGCGCCGAUGCCGUCGCAAAUGGAUUUGUUGUGUAGUAACAGUAGCAAUGGUGAAUUACCGCAAGGCUAUCUGAACGCGGCACCGAAGAAUAAACGGCAUACGAUUCAUAAGAAGAAGAAUAUUAUAGGUAGAAAUCCCGACAUGGAAGACCUCGUAAACCGAGCGGACAUACCGCUGGAGGUGAAGAAGGCUCUGCAAGAUCUCGAGUACGAAGAGAUGGAGGAACCGCCAGACGAGCAACAAUUGGAAGUUUUGGAGGAUAUCUGGCUGAAAGCAGGAGAAAUGGAUGUCGACGAGGCGACUGUAUAUGACGAUGGUUACAAUCGCAAGAAAAGCAGAAAGAGAAAGAGAAAGCAAAAUACGGAUAAAGAGAAGAAAACGAAAUCGAAGGAGAAGGGCAACAAAGCCACUAUGCAGAAUAUAGAAAUGCUCAAGAUAAAAGCUGAGCCCGACUUGUCCAAUUCGUUCGGGGACGUGUCUCAGGAAAAUAGCGAGGAGAUUCCUGUACUUCAAGGGAAUUACAAUGAUGACAUCAUUAUUCACAAUGAUCCGAUAGAUGAUCCUUUGAAGAUCGACGAGAACUUAAUGGAAGGCGAGAGACCUGCGAAAAAGAGGAAGAAGCACUCAAAGCACAGCGGACAAAAGAAAGUGAAGACAAAGCACGUAUCUAAGAAACGCAAGUACGAUAAUAUUCCGCCAAUGUUCGGCCACGCGCCGACUUUAGACGUUUCAAAUGCCGUUUCAAGUGUGCAAUGCAAGAACGUAAUAUUACCUGAUCUCACUAUAAAAGAUGUUUCUAGCAAUCAAGGAAAAAUCGACACGUUAUCUCGAAAUAGUAUUACUCUCGGUACUGAACUCGACAUCGAUGCAAGAGAUAAAAAAUCACAAGAGAUAAAAAUUACGACUAUAGUCGACAGCAGUCAGAUAGCGAACUUUUCCGCCUACAGCAAUGCUAGAAGCACCUUGAUGAGCAACGCAACGGAAAGUCAGACCGCUCAUCAGGUCGCGCGCUCAUCGAACGCCAAAUCCAAUUCUUCGAAAACAAGUACGCAAGUAGAUAUUCAAGUACAAGCAAGUUUGAAUCGAAGUUUGUGUACCACUGUACAGAGUACAAAUUCCGUCUGUCAGAGUGAAAGUACAAAAUCCAUGCUCGCUCACAUAAAGCCGGCUUGCACGACUUACAAAGGCAUAAACGUGACGUCCGCGGGAAAUAAUCCAGCAACAAUGGGCAACGGUACCCGCAAGGAUAUAUUGAAGGCGGCCAAAUUGAGGAUUACAAAUACCAACUCGUCGUCGAUAAGAUUCGUGCCGCAGACGCAGCCCGAAAAUUCCGGCGGCAAUCAGAAAGAUUUGCAUGUCUCGAUGAAUAACAUAGUUUGGCAGGGAAUAAAAACUCCAUCGAACAACAUGUUGUUCCUGCCAAGCAAUAUGUCUUAUUCGACAAACUUCAAUCGUAGUCCACCAGUAUUGCAAAAAGAAUUGCAAUGCGGACAAGGUUUAAUGGAUAAAGCGAAGGUCUUACCGCAGCCGUCGGAGCACAUUCCAAUAUUGCAAGUCCCGGCCAGCAUCACUAUCACUUCUCAGGCACCUACUCUAGAGCGUCAAUCUUUGUUUCCCAGCAGUUUCUCGCAGCAACCGUUCGCGAUUAAACACGAUGCCACGAAUACAAGGGCUGAAAUAAGACCGUUGAUAUCCGCGAGCAACGGUUCCAGAGAAGCGGCGAAGCAAUUCUGGGGAAAUAAUGCGACAAUUCAAAGCGCUAAAUCCGAGAAGCCUGUAACGAACAAGCAAUCCUUCGUACAGAUGAACACAUUGGCAUUUUCGUCUUUACCGAAGAUGAACGCAGUGCUGAUGCCGCAGUGUUCAGUCGCGGUAUAUCCCCCAGCUCAAAUCACUCCUAUUGGCAUUGGCAAGCCGUGUUUACAAAGCGUCAAUACCAUCGCGAAUCUCCCAUCUGCAAAAAAUGCAAAACAAAUUCUACCAAAAGUUACUACGUCACGUCAGAGAUUGCCCAAGAGUAACACUUCGCGCAAGAAGAACUCGGCGAAAGAUACGAGCGAUAAGUCGAGCAACGGUACUAGUGGUAAAGCUGUGUCAAACGUGUCUCAUCCGAUCAAUCCUGCGAGCACACUUGUCGAAACGCGAGUUGAUGUGGCAAGUCAGUGUCAAUCUGCUCAGCCUGAUGCAAGCAAAAUUCUGUCAAAAUCGGAAGAUGUACAAGUUGUGAUACCUUCGGACGAACAUUUGUCAGUUGAGAAGAAACUACUUAUCGCUACUGACCGUCUGCAGCACAAUGAAGGACAGUGCAUAAACACGUCUUGCCUUGACGUGCCUUGUACAGACGUUUCCUCGCAUUCAUCACUCCUAAGCUUACAACAGGGCAAGAUGCCUCUCAUCUCAAAGAAGUAUAAAGAGUCUAAGAAAUCUACGACGAGAAGAAAACAACAACUUUCUACCGAAGCUCUGACGAAAGACCAGUUCUCACCAACGCAACAGCAACAGCAGCAGAGUUCCGAUUUGUUGCACGCCUGCAAUUCCCAGCAAGCAUCCUUAAUCCCGGGUCACAUGUCCGAUAUGAUGUAUCCAAAUGUGCCGAAUGGCGAUCUGUUACGAGCGUUCAACGAUUAUUGGAGUGCUCAAGUCUCGCACUGCGCGAUAUGUGCCACCUUUGCAUCGUGUACAAGCGGCAGCAGUAGAGUGAUGCCCCCUGAUUGGAAGUAUUGUAAUUCAACCACGUUACCUGAAAGUACACCGAUAUGGGUAUCCGCCAGUAUUUUCGCGGCAAACUCCAAGGAGCAAGCUGUCGAACCAGAGAACAACAAGCUCUUACGAUGUAGAGAAUGUCAUGUGACUGUCCAUGCAUCUUGUUACGGUAUAACUAUAUUGCCUACCGAUGUCCGAAAUUGGGCUUGCGACAAGUGCAAAGCGGGUAGAAACGAUGUGAUGUGUUGCCUGUGUCCGAUGUUUGGUGGUCCUAUGAAACGUACCAGUGAUAGUAGAUGGGCUCAUAUCUUGUGCACACUCAUGGUACCAGGUGCCACUUUCAAAGAUGCCAUAAACAAAGAUCCUAUCAACGUGUUAACAAUCAUGGCGGAUUCGUUAAGUAAAAAGUGUUGCUUCUGCGACCAACAAAGCGGAGCAUGCCUCACAUGUAACAAGUGCAGCAAUGUCUUUCAUCCGUUUUGCGGUCUCGUGGCAGGUGCCACAUUUAGUAUACCAGCCUACAACUCGCAGGAACUUCAGGUUACAUGUAACGGCCAUGAUGAAGGCAAGGGAAAGAUUCCUCAGAUACGGCAAGGGGAGACUGUUUGGGCGAAACACCGAAACAGUCGAUACUAUCAAGCCAGAGUGGAGUCUAUUGAAGAUACCCUUUUUUACAUGGUUACAUUUAGUGACAACAGCUUCAGCGAAGAUCUAUAUCCCUCAGAUAUAACUAAUUAUGAUCGUAAUAUUACACCUCCACUUGGAGCUGCAGUGACUGUAAAAUGGACGGAUGGUCUGACGUAUGACGGUGUCUUUGAGGGUACAAAUCAUCGAAUAAUGUUCACUGUAACUUUCGAGGAUGGCUCACAGCUCGUUUUAACACGCAGUGAGAUCUGUAGCUUACAAGAAGAUAUGCCAAAGAGAGUGCGUUCCCGUCUGUCCGUCGCGACUGAAAUGAAGCACCGAUCUCAUCUUUAUGGCACAGAGGACGAAACAGAAGCGCAAAGAAAGGUGAAACAAUCGAAAGGUUGCGACUGAACAGAGAAGCGUAUGAUGUACAUAAAUGAUCAAAAGAGAACGCAAAGUUUCACUUGUAAAAAAAGAUAAUACUGGGUACAUGGGAAAAAGAGUUGUAUUUUAUAAUGUUUCCGACUCGAUCACUGGAUCUCGAACUGAUCAGAUGAAUUGCUGUGAUGGCAAUGUCAGUUUUACGGUAUCUACAUUUAGGAUUUUCGCAUAAGAAGGUAACAAAUAUAAAGGAUAUUGUCGAGAGCAUAUAUAUAAUGUACAAUAUAUAUUGACAUGUAAGUUCCGAACGAAAUCACGAUUAUUGUUCAUCACUGUAAUUGCUGCAAUAGACGUGAUUAUCAUUCUGUAAACAAUGCUUAUUGUUAAAUAUGAUCUUAAUAUCCAUUAAUGAUAGAUAUUCGUAUCUUAUUACAUAUACAUAUAAAAAUCUUAAGAUUAGAUUUAAGCUCUGUAUCAUAGAGAUUUGUAGUAUUCGUAAGUUAUAUGAUAUAGCAAAAUUUGUCAUUUUUGUUACAGUAACUGCUCAGACGCUUUUACUGAACACAAAUUCUAUUGUAAACCUGGAGAAAUAUUAUAUAACAUCAUAAAUAAAAAAAGUUUUUAAAACAGA